AGAGUUUGAUCCUGGCUCAGGACGAACGCUGGCGGCGUGCCUAAUACAUGCAAGUCGAACGCGAAAGGUCUGAAGCCUUCGGGCGGAGGGCCGAGUAGAGUGGCGAACGGGUGAGGAACACGUAGGUGACCUGCCCCGGAGAGGGGGAUAACCGUCGGAAACGGCGGCUAAUACCCCAUAAGCUCACGCGAGUUAGAGGGCGUGUGAGAAAAGCUCCGGCGCUCCGGGAGGGGCCUGCGGCCCAUCAGCUAGUUGGUAGGGUAAAGGCCUACCAAGGCGAAGACGGGUAGGGGGCCUGAGAGGGUGGUCCCCCACAUGGGAACUGAGACACGGUCCCAACUCCUACGGGAGGCAGCAGUAAGGAAUAUUGCACAAUGGGCGCAAGCCUGAUGCAGCAACGCCGCGUGCCCGAGGACGGCCUUCGGGUUGUAAAGGGCUUUUCUGGCUGACGAGGAAGGACGGUAGGCCAGGAAUAAGCGUCGGCUAACUACGUGCCAGCAGCCGCGGUAAU
rnacentral:rRNA from 1 species